UACAGAGGGUGCGAGCGUUGCCCGGAAUCACUGGGCGUAAAGGGCGCGUAGGUGGCUUGGUAAGCGUGCGGUGAAAGCUCGAGGCUCAACCUCGAGUCUGCGUGCGAACUGCCGAGCUGGAGCACGGUAGAGGCACAUGGAAUUCAGGUGUAGCGUGAAAUGCGUAGAUAUCUGGAGACACCGGUGGCGAAGGCGACAUCCUGGACCGGCAUGACGCUGAGCGCGAAAGCAGGG
rnacentral:rRNA from 1 species